rnacentral:rRNA from 1 species
GACGAACGCUGGCGGCGUGCUUAACACAUGCAAGUCGAACGGAAAGGCCCUGCUUUUGUGGGGUGCUCGAGUGGCGAACGGGUGAGUAACACGUGAGUAACCUGCACUUGACUUUGGGAUAACUUCAGGAAACUGGGGCUAAUACCGGAUAGGAGCUCCUGCUGCAUGGUGGGGGUUGGAAAGUUUCGGCGGUUGGGGAUGGACUCGCGGCUUAUCAGCUUGUUGGUGGGGUAGUGGCUUACCAAGGCUUUGACGGGUAGCCGGCCUGAGAGGGUGACCGGCCACAUUGGUCCUGAGGUACGGCCCAGACUCCUACGGGAGGCAGCAGGGGGGAAUAUUGCACAAUGGGCGGGAGCCUGAUGCAGCGACGCCGCGUGCGGGAUGACGUCUUUCGGGUUGUGAACCGCUUUCGCCUGUGACGAAGCGUGAGUGACGGUAAUGGGUAAAGAAGCACCGGCUAACUACGUG